rnacentral:rRNA from 1 species
AGUGAACGCUGGCGGUAGGCCUAACACAUGCAAGUCGAACGGCAGCACAGGAGAGCUUGCUCUCUGGGUGGCGAGUGGCGGACGGGUGAGGAAUACAUCGGAAUCUACUCUGUCGUGGGGGAUAACGUAGGGAAACUUACGCUAAUACCGCAUACGACCUUCGGGUGAAAGCAGGGGACCUUCGGGCCUUGCGCGAUUGAAUGAGCCGAUGUCGGAUUAGCUAGUUGGCGGGGUAAAGGCCCACCAAGGCGACGAGCCGUAGCUGGUCUGAGAGGAUGAUCAGCCACACAGGAACUGAGACACGGUCCAGACGCCUACGGGAGGCAGCAGUGGGGAAUAUUGGACAGUGGGCGCAAGCCUGAUCCAGCCAUACCGCGUGGGUGAAGAAGGCCUUCGGGUUGUAAAGCCCUUUUGUUGGGAAAGAAAUCCAGCUGGCUAAUACCCGGUUGGGAUGACGGUACCCAAAGAAUAAGCACCGGCUAACUUCGUGCCAGCCGCCGCAGUAA